AUUGAACGCUGGCGGCAUGCUUCACACAUGCAAGUCGAACGGCAGCACGGGGGCAACCCUGGUGGCGAGUGGCGAACGGGUGAGUAAUGCAUCGGAACGUACCCGGAAGUGGGGGAUAACGUAGCGAAAGUUACGCUAAUACCGCAUAUUCUGUGAGCAGGAAAGCAGGGGAUCGCAAGACCUUGCGCUUUCGGAGCGGCCGAUGUCGGAUUAGCUAGUUGGUGAGGUAAAAGCUCACCAAGGCGACGAUCCGUAGCUGGUCUUAGAGGAUGAUCAGCCACACUGGGACUGAGACACGGCCCAGACUCCUACGGGAGGCAGCAGUGGGGAAUUUUGGACAAUGGGCGCAGGCCUGAUCCAGCAAUGCCGCGUGCAGGAAGAAGGCCUUCGGGUU
rnacentral:rRNA from 1 species